rnacentral:rRNA from 1 species
GACGUAGGGCGCGAGCGUUGUCCGGAUUUAUUGGGCGUAAAGAGCUCGUAGGCGGCUUGUCGCGUCGUCCGUGAAAACCCACAGCUCAACUGUGGGCUUGCGGUCGAUACGGGCAGGCUAGAGUUCGGUAGGGGAGACUGGAAUUCCUGGUGUAGCGGUGAAAUGCGCAGGUAUCAGGAGGAACACCGGUGGCGAAGGCGGCAUCCUGGACCGGCACUGACGCUGAUGAGCGAAAGCCAGGGGAGCAAACGGG